GUGAAGCCCAGGGCAACCUCAAACUCAAGAGAACACCCUUGCUUCUAUCUCUUGACUGCUGGGAUUGCAGGUAUGAUCCACAUUUCAAAGAAAACGAAAGCUUUGUUAAGCCCAGUCCCCUUGCUUCAUCAUUGGCCCCAGAGUCCCUGCCAGGGAGUUCACGAAUGAAUGACAUAGCACAGUGGUACAGUACAGAGCUUGGCACUCAUUCGCUGUUAUGUUCAUUAAGUAUUAAUAAGUGAAGCUGUAUUAUAGUCUGGCCAUCAAGACCCUUCAUCAGAGGAUGCUCAAUAAGACGGGCUCAGGAGAAAGUGGGGCUGGCCAGGCUUGAGAAUCCCGCCUAAAGGUUCAAUCCUACCUCUGUUAUCAGGCAGCCAGAUAAUUAAUCUGUCAUCUCCCCAGUCUGACUUUCUUGUGGGACUAAAUAAAAAAGAGAAAAGUAGGAGGCCAGCUGCACAAGAGCAUUCAUCUUUCUGCCUCCUGACAGCAGCCACAGUGUGAUGAGAUGCCUCACUCUCUGGAUGCUGUGGAGCACUGUGCACUUCCAAACCCUGAACUAAAACAAGCCUGCCCUGCCUCAGGUCGCUUUUGCCAGAAAAUUAAUCAUAGCAAUGAGAACAGUAACUUAAUAGAAUUCUGAGAGCUUCUAUGUACAGCUUCCUUUUUCUCAAGAGUGGUUUGGAAUCUGAUUCACAUAAGGUGUCUUGUCUCUACAAGCAGUCUUCAGAGUUCUUCUCUGUGGCCCAAGAUCACUGAGACCUCUGAUCAUAUGCUUCUGCACAUGGCUGUUUAGUGCUGUGCGACAACUGUUCCCCAAAGCCUGGCCUCUCUCAAGAAGGAGUGGGAAUCACUUACACACAUAUGUACACGCUUACCACAUGCAUGUACACACAUGCACACAGGCAUUUCUUUUCAUACCAGGGGACCUUUGUCUCUGAGCUGAUGUCACUAAGUCCUCACAUCUAGGCUUGUCCUCACUUGGGAAGUGUGUCACAUCUGCCGUCACCAAGCUCAUCCAUGGGUCCUGUCACCCACUUGGAACUCUGGCAAGUUUGGCCGGCAGAGCACUUCCCACUGCUGCACAGCUGUAUUGGAUACACCCCUCUGUACUUGUGAAUAAAGUCACAGAGAUUCACUGCCACCGUUCUUCCUCUGGUUCUCUCUGGACAGAAAACUCCCAGAAAUCAGACUCACUUUCCUAUCACUGCUGCUAAUGAGUGAGUGCAUGAAAGUUGGUUCAUGUGGAUUAUAGAUGUUAAAACUGCCUCAGACUGGCCUCAGUCCACCCCUCAACCCGCAGGGAACCAGGGUCCCGGUGUUCAGGUGAGCAAGGAGUCAGGGAAAAGUGACAAACAGACACUGACACAGAGAGAGUGCUGUGUCUGAGUGUGAUUUCUCCAAGCGACCAUCAGACUUAUAGAAGAAAGCAAAGAAGUUAGGGGACACAUCAGCCAAGGUACAUUGAAGUUAUCUGACACCAAACAGAGAAAUGCAUACAUAAAGACUGGCAGGAACCAGGCAGUGGUUACAACUGAGAUGAAAGGCAGCCCUUUCUAAAGUCAGCCAUUGACAGGAGCCAGGUAAGGAUUUCACACC
rnacentral:lncRNA from 1 species